rnacentral:rRNA from 1 species
GGCGUAGGAGGCGAGCGUUGUCCGGAUUCAUUGGGCGUAAAGAGCACGCAGGCGGUUUGGCAAGUCGGAUGUGAAAACCCGAAGCUCAACUUCGGGCCUGCAUCCGAAACUGCCCGACUAGAGGUAGGUAGGGGAGAUCGGAAUUCCUGGUGUAGCGGUGAAAUGCGCAGGAUAAUCAGGAGGAACACCGGUGGCGAAGGCGGAUCUCU